UUGGGGAGGGCCCGCGGAGCGGGGAUCCCGCUGCCAAGUGGCGGGCUGGGGACCAUUCCAGACCCCAGGAUGAAGAAGAGCGAGAACAGAGCCCCGGAGGAAGGAAGUGGCUGGCUGAUGGAGGCAGGAGAGGUGGGAAGGGCCCAGCGAUUACCUCCUAAAAUGCCAAUGUGAUACAGGUGGAUGGACUGGGCUCGGAGCCGUGUGUCACCAGAGGCUACCAGCGUUUGUCCAAAUGAGUGGAGAGCCCAGUACAAGCGAAGCGAGAAGCCAGAUUGCAUGAGACAAAGUGCCAGACUUGCCUUUCCUUUUUUAAAAAUUUAUUCACAAACGAACCAGAUUGAUCUCUCGGUAAGAAAGGGAAGCUCGUCAAAGUUGCCCUGGGGUGUCAAUGAGCGCUGACAAUCAGACUAUUAUCCAAAGCACUCGCAACAGGUACCUGCUGAGACGCUCCCCCGAGAGGAGUGGGGACGUGAAAGGAGACGAGGAGCAGCGGCUCUUAAACAUCCCGAUGGCUGGAAACCAGCAUCCCCCGCGCCAGGCACUGUGGUGACAGCAAGGGUCCCUCUCUGCCAUCUGUCGGAAGAAGAGCCACGGGGGCUUUCUCAGCGGCAAACCCACAGGCUGUUGGGAGCGAUGACCUCCCUCACGGACAGACCUAUGGGACCCGGCCAGCACGCCGGCCACCGACAGACGGGCGCGGGCCGCAAUUUCACAGGGGGCCAAGCCCCCAGAUGGCUGCGUGCUCCUGCCACCUCCUCCCGUGCCGGGGUUUGUCCGGCCCCCCAGGUUUGUCCCGGUUCCCGCAUGGCAAGUCUCUCCAACGUGACUGACAAGAUUUCUCUUGCUGUACUAAGCUCAGGAGGGGAGAGGACUCGACAAGGUCAUACAUUUUGGGAGAGCGCAUCAGUGUGUAGCACGGAGAGGACUUUAAUCGUGCUGUCUGUCCUCCGCUGAGACAAUUUCUCCAAUCAUUGCACUGUAGGCACAACGUCACAGAAGGAGGAAAACAGAAUGACAGUAAGGUGUCCCUUGCUAGGACGGCUAGCAGUUUUCGUCGCUGUCCUCUGCCUUGGUGGCUCCUGGGCCGGGUCAGCAUCGGAGCUGUCGGGAGAAGGCUCACCGACAGCCCCUGCCCACCCCGGCCCCUCGCAGGGGGGCUCUCCGAGGCUCGUGGGCCCCGCGAGGACGCCCGCCCGAUUUCCGACCCACACCGGCAGUGCGCCGGCUCUGACGCGAAGCUGGCUUCUCCCGUCGGAGCCCCCUGUGUGCCCGAGCCACCGCUCGGCCCGAGUCCCGGCAUUCCCGGGUCAUCCUCUCCGUGACCCCCUCCCACACUGGCCCCAGCCCUACGAUGAGGCUUGCGGGUCUGUUUCUCCGCGCGGCUCUCAGGCCUUCCACGGAACGUGGAGCUCCGCCUCCUGAUCCCACUCCCUCGGCCUGGGAUGGCCAGAUGGCUGUCCGCACGGGACAGAGGUGGUUUCUCCGUCGCUGACAUCCUGCCUUCCGCGGAAUGCCCCAAACCUUGACAAGAGUAUUUGCAUGAAUUGUGGACUGCCACCACCCUGGACCAUCUCCUGAACUCCUAUUAGCUGCGUCUUCAUUACAGAUUUACAGUGAUUGUUUCUGUCUUUUUGAAGCACAGACAUUUUACUCACAGAUAAGGUGACCUUUUGAAAACUACAGUAUUGCUUUAGAAAAAAAUUCAUAAUACGAAAAUAUUUUAGAAUACAUAUAACUUAUUCUUUUCAGAUGAUUUUUCAUUGUAACAUUCAUUAAGAAUUAUAUAUAACUGAAAUAGCCUAUUCUAUCUUCAGUAUAAACAUUCAAUCAUAACCCCUCUCAAUGAUUAUAUAUUCCCUUCAGGUUUUUCUCUCUAUAGCAUUUACCCAUUUACCCAUCUCUAUAGCAUUUACCCAUAAUAUUAGAUAUGAUUUUACUCUUAUUUUUGCCUCUUAAUAACUUCAACUAAUAUGCAUUUCCCAUAGCAUCCUGAUAUUACAUAAUCAAAAUAGACAUUUUCGAUGGUUCUGUGAACAAUUUUAUCAAGUACAUUCAUCACCAUAUACUUUGCUUUUUCCCUACUGUUGGGAGCGUAGGCUAUUUCCAAAUUCUGCUGUUGUAACGAACACUACAAUUACUUUCUUUGUGUAUAUCAAGGUUCCCAUUAAUAAUUAUUUCUCAGAAUAAAUACACAGCUGUAAUAUUUCUGGGGCAGACUCAGAAACAUUUAUAUGUUGCCAAAAUGAUUUUAAAAAGGAUAUUCCACUAACUCCAAGUGUGAGCUCUGAGAGUACUUGCCUUAUGAGUACUUACUGGCCUAGGCCAAAAUAUUUGUUUUAUUUUUGUCUUAAACUAUAUUUACUGAUUACUAGGGAGGUGGGCCAUUUUUAUGCUUUCUACUUGUACACCUAAGGAAUAUUUGUAUACUUUGUCAGUUUAUUGCUUUCACAUACUUACUA